rnacentral:lncRNA from 1 species
AUGACUCUGAUUCUUCUGCUGAGUUGGACACACUCUCUGUCAGGUCUUCUUCCAUCUGCUGGACGCUUCCCAACUGUGCAUCCACAUGUAUUUGAUGAUCAUCUUAAAUUUAGCCAAAAAGACUCAGAACGUCAGCCUGCUCCGGGGCCAGCAUAUCGCCCUCCUUGCACACCUCAUAGUCAGACAGCAGGAAAUGAUCAGCCGGGUGCGGUGGCUCACGCCUGUAAUCCCAGCACUUUGGGAGGCCGAGGCGGGUGGAUCACGAGGUCAAGAGAUCGAGACAUCCUGGUCAACGUGGUGAAACCCUGUCUCUACUAAAAAUACAAAAAAUUAGCUGGGCAUGGUGGCACGUGCCUGUAAUCCCAGCUACUCAGGAGGCUGAGGCAGGAGAAUUGCCUGAACCCAGGAGGCGGAGGUUGCGGUGAGCCGAGAUCCCGCCAUUGCACUCCAGCCUGGGUAACAAGAGCAAAACUCCGUCUCAAAAAAAAAAAAGAAAAAAGAAAAAAGAAAUGAUUUCCUGGCUCUGACAUCUGAAAAAUAGUAAAACCCGUGUUAACCCCCAAGCAAGGAGCCUCUACAUGAAAAGGAAACAGAGCUGCCUCCAUAUAUGCUGCCUCCAGACCUGAGCAAGCCUGCCCAGAGACUGGGACAUCCUGGCAUCCCAGAAAGCAAGGGAAACAGCAGCAAUGACUGUGCAUCUCAGGGAGGGCAGACACCUGCUCGAAGGGGUUCCUCAGGCCAAAAUGUGACCAUUGGACACUAAAAAGAAUAACCGCUUUAAAAAGGAUAUCCACAAAGAAUUGAAACAUAUUUACUAUGUCUGUAUUUGUGACCAUAAUAAUCCUAAAACAAAUGAGCAAAACCACAAUUCAUCAUUUAUCUUUGGAUAAUGCUAAGAAA